CCGGGUCCUCGUGGCCCGGAUGCAGUAAACGGUCAGCGCUCCCGGGUCCUCGUGGCCCGGAUGCAGUAAACGGUCAGCGCUCCCGGGUCCUCGUGGCACGGAUGCAGUAAACGGUCAGCGCUCCCGGGUCCUCGUGGCCCAGAUGUAGUAAAUGGUCAUGGUUUUGUUCUUAGGCUGCUCCCACACCACCAUCAAGUUCUGCAGAUUAAGAAGCUAUAUUAUUGCCUUCAAAAUGACCUGCUAUUUCCUGGAAACUGUAAUUUGCUGGAACUGUCCUUGUCACUGGGCUGUCAAAUGAAACGACUCAGGCGAAGAGCUCCAACCACCGCCCUCUCCGUGCUGAGCAUUCGCUGCCUCCACUGCCACAUGCACAGAUUCUAAAAAAGCGAUGAAAGGGCGGAACACUUACUUCCUCCGAGACAGGGAUGCUUUCUUCUGAUCCAGGGUCACUGAUGAGUCAGAUGCAUGAGCUGUGCCCCGAUCUGCCUGCCUGUCUAGGACCCACCCUCUUCACUGGGCUUGGAGCUUCUCGGGAGAGCACUGAUGAGAACCAGACCAGCCAGCGUUCAAAUCCCUGCUCUUUCACUUAGUAGGGGUGUGACUGACAAAAUGACAUUUUCUCUCCCUGAACCCCAGUUUCCACAUCUAUAAAAUGUGGGUAUAAAUACCUAAUUCACAGGGCAUUUGUGAGGAUUAGAUAAAAAUAACAUGUGUUGAAUGCGUAACACAAAGUACCUGCUUGCUAACACUAACAUGACCUAUAUCUACACACACUUCUGUGUGGUCAUACACAUCCACAGGGCGUGUUUAAUCCUGUGUGUGGGUGUGUGUUUAAUCUCUGUACCCCCCAGACCCAGCACAGUGCAUGGCGUGUACUACAAACCACACAAGGCUGAAGAGGGGGGUGGCCUCUCCCAGAAGAUGAACGUGUUUAUGACAGAUGGCAGGACACACAUUGCAAGUGUGUACAACUUACAGCAAGACAAUACGCUGUAAAUAAGAAGGAAGCUCAAAGAUGCUGAUGAUUAAUUCUCCUUUUCCAGGGGAAGGUUUGAUUCAGCUAGAAAUGUAGAUUUACUCAUUGUCCUACAAAAUAAAUCCCGAUAAACAAUUACAUCACAAAACACACCAGAGUUCUAGUCCUGUAAGCUCCUGUUAUCACAGUCCUUUAAAAAAAAACACCCUGCCUUCAAUACACUUUCCUAACAAAUCCCUUAACAUGGGAUCUACACUGACUCCAUUUCAGUUUGAAUAAACAAGGCUAGUAAAAUUAAACACGUGAGAGAUUCCAAGCACAGAGGUACUGACUCCAUUAUAAGAAAAAAGCACACUAUGUCAAAACUGAAAUAGGAAAAAAGCUAAGAACAUGUAUGCUUUCAACUCUUCAAUUUACUUACAGUCACCUAAGCAAACCAGUGAUAUUAAAAGUGAAAUAGUCAUAA